UACGGGGGGGGCAAGCGUUGUUCGGAAUUACUGGGCGUAAAGGGCGCGUAGGCGGUUGGAUAAGUCAGCUGUGAAAACCACGGGCUUAACUCGUGGCCUGCAGUUGAAACUGCCUGGCUUGAGUGUGGGAGAGGAGAGUGGAAUUCCUGGUGUAGCGGUGAAAUGCGUAGAUAUCAGGAGGAACACCGGUGGCGAAGGCGGCUCUCUGGACCACAACUGACGCUGAGGCGCGAAAGCUAGGGGAGCAAACAGG
rnacentral:rRNA from 1 species